UUGCUUCAGAAGCACAUCUACUAAAACUGGAACGAUACAGAGAAGAUUAGCAUGGCCCCUGCACAUGCGUUCCAUAUUUUUAUAGAAAAAAAAUUUUUUUUU